AUUUACCUUGUUCUUUUAUUUAUCUCCGCUCUUUAUAUUUACCUCGCUGUUUACAAUGACUAGCCAAGGAACUGAAGAGGAAGAGGCGGCUGCACAAUCCUAAAAUCGCGGAGGCAGUCCGUCCGCUACACAACUCUGAGGAAACUGUAGGCGCUAUGACCCGGAGCAGGGAUUAAACUCGCCAUAUAAUGAGACGGUCACCUCAUUUUAGUGGAGCACUGUCCAUAAGCCCGGAAACGCGCGAUGAAGGCCUGGAUAAAAAUGACUUUGUUGGAAAGUAAUUUUCACUGUGUUGUUGUUGUUGUUGUUGUUGUUGUUGUUAGAUUCAAGAAGCUUUAUUGUCAUUUCAACCACAUAUAUCUGACGCAGUACAUAGUGAAAUGAAACAACGUUUCUCCAGGACCUGGUGCUACAGAAACAUACAACAUGGAGUUCAAACACAAGAACAACAUAAAGCUAGGACCGAAAGUUCGUCCAAGCCACAUAAAGUUUGCCUGCAAGACAUACUACGAGACAGUGCAUAGAAAUUUCCGGAACAACCAAAGCUAGCCAAUGUGGCUACAGCUAAUAAGACCUCAGCCCAGAGUCACCAGAGGAGGAAGAGGCUCUUGGAGGCGAGGCAAAGUAUACUGGCUGCGGAUGAAGUGGACUUCUGGAGUGGAAUCACUGCUGACAUGAUGUCAGAUGAAGAAGACGGUGCCGUUGAUGGAGUCUCGGGGUGGAUUGUGAGACCUCCAUCAAUCCACAGCCAGGAGUUCAGCAAUCUGUGUGCUAAGCUGCAGACGAGACUAGAAGCCAGUUCAAAGUAUGCAGCACUGCAUCACUGGCGUCUGUGAACUGGGAUUCCGUCUAACAGAACACCACCGCAUACCUACGACCC